AUUGAACGCUGGCGGAAUGCUUUACACAUGCAAGUCGAACGGCAGCACGGACUUCGGUCUGGUGGCGAGUGGCGAACGGGUGAGUAAUGUCUCGGAACGUGCCCAGUCGUGGGGGAUAACGUAGUGAAAAUUACGCUAAUACCGCAUACGAUCUAUGGAUGAAAGCGGGGGAUCGCAAGACCUCGCGCGAUUGGAGCGGCAGAUAUCAGAUUAGGUAGUUGGUGGGGUAAAGGCCCACCAAGCCAACGAUCUGUAGCUGGUCUGAGAGGACGACCAGCCACACUGGAACUGCGACACGGUCCAGACUCCUACGGGAGGCAGCAGUGGGGAAUUUUGGACAAUGGGCGAAAGCCUGAUCCAGCCAUUCCGCGUGCAGGAUGAAGGCCCUCGGGUUGUAAACUGCUUUUGUACAGAACGAAAAGGUUUCUACUAAUACUAGGAGCUCAUGACGGUACUGUAAGAAUAAGCACCGGCUAACUACGUGCCAGCAGCCGCGGUAA
rnacentral:rRNA from 1 species